rnacentral:rRNA from 1 species
AUUGAACGCUGGCGGCAGGCGUAACACAUGCAAGUCGAGCGGUAGCACAGAGAGCUUGCUCUCGGGUGACGAGCGGCGGACGGGUGAGUAAUGUCUGGGAAACUGCCUGAUGGAGGGGGAUAACUACUGGAAACGGUAGCUAAUACCGCAUAACGUCGCAAGACCAAAGUGGGGGACCUUCGGGCCUCAUGCCAUCAGAUGUGCCCAGAUGGGAUUAGCUAGUAGGUGGGGUAACGGCUCACCUAGGCGACGAUCCCUAGCUGGUCUGAGAGGAUGACCAGCCACACUGGAACUGAGACACGGUCCAGACUCCGACGGGAGGCAGCAGUGGGGAAUAUUGCACAAUGGGCGCAAGCCUGAUGCAGCCAUGCCGCGUGUGUGAAGAAGGCCUUCGGGUUGUAAAGCACUUUCAGCGGGGAGGAAGGCGUUAAGGUUAAUAACCUUGGCGAUUGACGUUACCCGCAGAAGAAGCACCGGCUAACUCCGUGCCAGCCGCCGCGGUAA